GUGAGCCACGGCACCCGGCUGAGACCUUGUCUAAAGAAGAAAGAAGAUGAAGAAAGACAUACCAUGAAGACGAAUGCGAAAGAUAAGAGUGGCUACAUUCAGAUCGAAGUAGACUUCAGGACAAGGAAUCUCACCAGAGAUAAGAGGUACCUUUCAUAACGGUAAAACACCGACGUUCAUCCCAAGACUUAACCCUAACUGGGCAGGCCUCUAUUCACAGACCUCAAAAUAUGUAAAGCAAAAGCUGAUGGGCAGACAAGAGCAACAGGAAACAGGCCUACCCAUGGGUACAGCAGGAGUGCUGACCCUCUUCUUUCAGUAACUGAGAGGAGAUAGCAGAAAAUCAAGAGGGAUAGAAAAGACUUGAAAAACACUCUUUGCUAAUUGGAGCCAGUUGAGAGUCGUGUAUCAGUACACUCAACAAUGACAGUCGUGUAGCAUUACACCCAACAACAGUCACAUAGCAUUACACCCAACAAUGACAGUCACAUAGAAUUACACCCAACGAUGACAGUCACGUAGCAUUACACCCAACGACGACAGUCAGCAUUACACCCAGCAACAACAGUCACAUAGCAUACACCCAACAAUGACAGUCACAUAGAAUUACACCCAACAAUGACAGUC
rnacentral:lncRNA from 1 species